UGGGGAAUAUUGGACAAUGGGCGAAAGCCUGAUCCAGCCAUGCCGCGUGUGUGAAGAAGGUCUUCGGAUUGUAAAGCACUUUAAGUUGGGAGGAAGGGCAUUAACAUAAUACGCUAGUGUCCGACGUACCGAUAGAUAGCCGAUUCCCGG
rnacentral:rRNA from 1 species